GGUCGGGGAGGCGGGUGAGGCUGGCAAAAAAGAGCAACGCAACCGUUUUUACCAGCCCAUAACACCCUGGGACUAGGAAGGCGGGAUUCAAGAUGGAUAUCUAAACAGCGGAUAGAGCCAGAACGCUCCACGGCUACUACUUGAAAGAGCCCUCAGUAGAUACAAACUCUCCUCACUACAUCUAGUCUGGGGAGGUGCGUUAAAGAGUAAGCAUUGGGAAGUGUGGCGCCCACCGACAGAAGGAGGGAUUUAGGGUGUGGAAAAAAAGUGCCGGUGAGGGCUCUGCCAGUCCCUGUUCCUGUAGAGAGUUCUGUUGUGAUAAGGCAUUUACUUUAAUAAUCAAAGUGGUAAUGGCUAGUUACCCUCCAGACACUUAACCUUUACUAUUCUUGAAGUCCACAAAGAAAGAGGAUGUUGAAAGAUAGAACUUUGGCAGUGGCGUGGGAACUGCGAGAGGGCCAGCCCAGCUCCCGCUAAAUCACAUCUGGUAUUGCCAACACCAGUAAGACUCAAUGGGUGUAGCUCAGACUAAAUGACUCAGUCAAACUACGUGAGGACAAAUGAAUUGUCAGCGCUCUCUUAGAGCCCUGCAAUAAACCAAGUAAUUCUAGAAGAGUUUGAGACUUUGGACAACCCUAAUCAAGGACACGAGAGGGCAGCAGUGUUGGCACCAGGACCCUCAACACCUCUGAUGCCCUGGUAGUUGGACCCCUUGUGCAUGUCAGCAGCUGCAACAGCAGUGGCAGUACCUUUGGUGGGCAAUGAACACAUGGCUUGGACCGGCAGCAGCUAGCUGCUUG